rnacentral:misc_RNA from 1 species
GUGAUUUGUCCUAUAUGCUUGGAUUUCCCUCACAACAGUGUACUCCUUCAAUGCUCUUCUUAUGAUAAAGGCUGCCGGCCUUUUGUUUGUGAUACAGACCAUUUGCACUCAAACUGUUUGGACCGUUUCAAAAGUGCAUGUGGUAUGCCAUUUCCUUCAACAUCUGAUGAAUCUCCUACAACAAACACACAGCGUAUGGUAGUGGAGAGCAGUUUUAGACUAGCUUGUCCCCUUUGUAGAGGUGAAGUUACUGGCUGGGUGGUGGUUGAUAAGGCUCGUGUACACUUAGAUGAGAAAAAGCGUUGUUGCGAGGAAGAACAAUGUACUUUCACAGGGACCUAUUUGGAACUAUGUAAACAUGCUCAACUAGAACACCCUCAUGCCCGUCCUUCAAAAAUUGAUCCUGCUCGACAACUUGAUUGGGAGAAUUUCCAGCAGUCCUCUGAGAUAAUAGAUGUUUUGAGCAUGAUACAUUCAGAAGUCCCACGUGGGGUUGUUUUGGGAGACUAUGUGAUUGAGUAUGGGGGCGAUGAGACUGGAGAUGAAUUUGAGGACUUUCCUGGGGAUGAAGGCAACUGGUGGACUUCUUGCAUCUUGUACCAGGUAUUUGAUAACUUCAGAAGUUCAAGAAAUAGAAGAAGGUCAAGAGUAGCUGAUACAAG